UACGUAGGUGGCAAGCGAUACUCGGAAUCACUAGGCGUAAAGCGCAGGUAGGCGGUUUGGUAAGUCUUUUGUGAAAGCUCCCGGCUCAACUGGGAGAGGCCAAAGGAAACUACUAGACUAGAGGUAUGCAGGGGAGAAUGGAAUUCCUGGUGUAGCGGUGAAAUGCGCAGAUAUCAGGAGGAACACCGGUGGCGAAGGCGGUCUCUGGGCAUUACCUGACGCUGAGGAGCGAAAGUGUGGGGAGCGAACAGG
rnacentral:rRNA from 1 species